UGCCAGCCUCCGCUGUACCCCUGGGUGCGCAAUCGUUAUUCGGAAUUAUUGGGCGUAAAGGGCACGCAGGCGGCUAGGCAAGUUGGUGGUGAAAGCCCUCGGCUCAACCGAGGAAUUGCCCCCAAAACUGCUUAGCUUGAGUCCCGGAGAGGGUGACGGAAUUCCCAGUGUAGCGGUGAAAUGCGUAGAUACUGGAAGGAACACCAGUGGCGAAGGCGGUCACCUGGACGGGUACUGACGCUCAUGUGCGAAAGCGUGGGGAGCAAACAGGAUUAGAUA
rnacentral:rRNA from 1 species